GUUUCUUCUCCUUAUCCGCAUGGUGGCCAGUGAUUAACUCUGUCAUUCCUUCCUUACGUAGUAGCUAGCCUCACUAGGGACAGAAGCGAACACAAUGCUUAAGAGUCUGCUUCCGAUUAAAACUCUCCCAAGUAGUCUUCUUUCUCGAGUGGUGACUACUUGGGAGAUCAGAGACAAACAGAUAAGAUAGAUGAUGAAGUUAUCCAAAAAGAGAUCAGAGACAAACAGAUAAGAUAGAUGAUGAAGUUAUCCAUGCUUCACUUCCAGAAAUCGUCAAAACCAAACGAGUUUUGCCGAAUGAAUAACGAUGGCAAUCAUACAUUACGCACGGUGAAAGACUCAAAGCUAACGAGGCACUAUCAAGAACCUCCCAGUCAAUUGUUGCUUAUACUGGUAAGCUAUUUUUGGUAAAGUACAACAAGUUUAGCCCCUUAUUGAUAGAUGUAAGUCGCACAGUUUUUAGUCUUUUGGACCCAAUAUAGUUUCCAGAGUUGUUGAUA